rnacentral:rRNA from 1 species
UUGGGUUAAGUCCCGCAACAGCGCAACCCUUGUCACUAGUUGCCAUCAUUUUGGUUGGGCACUCUAGUGAGACUGCCGGUGACAAACCGGAGGAAGGUGGGGAGUGACGUCAAGUCCUCAUGGCCCUUAUGGGUAGGGCUUCACACGUCAUACAAUGGUCGGUACAGAGGGUUGCCAAGCCGCGAGGUGGAGCCAAUCCCUUAAAGCCGAUCGUAGUCCGGAUCGUAGUCUGCAACUCGACUACGUGAAGUCGGAAUCGCUAGUAAUCGCAGAUCAGCAUGCUGCGGUGAAUACGUUCCCGGGUCUU